rnacentral:rRNA from 1 species
GACGAACGCUGGCGGCGUGCCUAACACAUGCAAGUCGAACGGAGUGAAGCCCUUCGGGACUUUACUUAGUGGCGAACGGGUGAGUAACGCGUGAGGAACCUGCCUUUCAGUGGGGGACAACAGUUGGAAACGACUGCUAAUACCGCAUAAGCCCACGGUGCCGCAUGGCACAGAGGGAAAAGGAGUAAUCCGCUUUGAGAUGGACCCGCGUCUGAUUAGCUUGUUGGUGAGGUAACGGCCCACCAAGGCGACGAUCAGUAGCCGGCCUGAGAGGGUGAACGGCCACAUUGGGACUGAGACACGGCCCAAACUCCUACGGGAGGCAGCAGUGGGAAUAUUGCACAAUGGGGGAAACCCUGAUGCAGCGAGCCGCGUGAGUGAUGAAGUAUUCGG